AAAGAUAAAGAGUAUUUUAACAUCAUUAUAUUCUUCAAUACUACGUUCUAAACUUUUACGUUUAUCUUUAUUUAUAGAGGACUAAUAUAUCACUUGUCUAUCAUCAUUAUAGCUUCUAUAUAAUAUUUUAAAUAAAAUUUACUUAAUAUAUUAUUUUAAGAUUUUUAAAACAUAAUUUAUGAAAGAGUACUUAAUUCAUAUUUUAAAUAACAAUCAAAAUUCGCGGAUUUUAAUUAAUCGAAUAUUUAAGAAACACCGAUUCGAUAUCGUUCGAUAGCCAAUCAAAGUCACGCAGAUCUUCACUGAACCAAUCAACGUCAAUCAAUAACACCGCGCGCUUUUUUCCGAGGCGUCAUAAAUCAAUCAGUCAUCGACGCUUAUUAUGUGAUGUGCUUUUCUAAAAAUGCGAGUUAAAUAAAAAAAAUUAGGCGAUCAUAAAUAAAACGCAUCCAGGGAACGCGUCCGUCUUCUCAACCCCGUGGCGCGUAACUGAGUUUCUUCGUAAUAUACAGGGACUAGUGGCGGUGGAGGUGGAAUAGACACGGUUAUAGGUUAUGGCGGUAGUGGUAGACCAGAAAAGAAAAUUGGCAAUUUUAUAUGUUAAUGUUUCUAUGUUUUAUCUAAAUUGAUUUCAUAUUGAAAUAAAUUCUUUGAAAAUGAAGCAUUUCUUUGUGAGCAUCUUAUGAGAUUUGUAAUUGGAUAAGCGUGCUACGAGAAUUCAAUGACUUGUCUAUAUGUAUAAGUGAUAAAAGUCGACGCAUACGAAAUAUAUAAAUGAAAAUUCCAAAAAGUAAUCGAUGUAAUUAACUACACGCAUGCGUGUUAUACAUAAUAAUGACGAAAAUAGAAAACUCUA